AUUGAACGCUGGCGGCAUGCCUUACACAUGCAAGUCGAACGGUAACGGGUCCUUCGGGAUGCCGACGAGUGGCGAACGGGUGAGUAAUAUAUCGGAACGUGCCCAGUAGUGGGGGAUAACUGCUCGAAAGAGCAGCUAAUACCGCAUACGACCUGAGGGUGAAAGGGGGGGAUCGCAAGACCUCUCGCUAUUGGAGCGGCCGAUAUCAGAUUAGCUAGUUGGUGGGGUAAAGGCCUACCAAGGCAACGAUCUGUAGUUGGUCUGAGAGGACGACCAGCCACGCUGGGACUGAGACACGGCCCAGACUCCUACGGGAGGCAGCAGUGGGGAAUUUUGGACAAUGGGCGCAAGCCUGAUCCAGCAAUGCCGCGUGCAGGAAGAAGGCUUUCGGGUUGUAAACUGCUUUUGUCAGGGAAGAAAUCUUCUGGGCUAAUACCCCGGGAGGAUGACGGUACCUGAAGAAUAAGCACCGGCUAACUACGUGCCAGCCGCCGCAGUAA
rnacentral:rRNA from 1 species